GCCAGACUCCUACGGGAGGCAGCAGUGGGGGAUAUUGCACAAUGGGGGGAACCCUGAUGCAGCGACGCCGCGUGGGUGAAGGAGCGUUUCGGCGCGUAAAGCCCUAUCGGCAGGGAAGAAGGAGGACGGUACCUGACUAAGAAGCCCCGGCUAACUACGUGCCAGCAGCCGCGGUAAUACGUAGGGGGCAAGCGUUAUCCGGAUUUACUGGGUGUAAAGGGGGCGCAGACGGCAGCGCAAGCCAGGAGUGAAAGCCCGGGGCCCAACCCCGGGACUGCUCUUGGAACUGCGCGGCUGGAGUGCAGGAGGGGCAGGCGGAAUUCCUGGUGUAGCGGUGAAAUGCGUAGAUAUCAGGAGGAACACCGGUGGCGAAGGCGGCCUGCUGGACUGCGACUGACGUUGAGGCCCGAAAGCGUGGGGAGCAAACAGGAUUAGAUACCCUCGUACAA
rnacentral:rRNA from 1 species